rnacentral:rRNA from 1 species
AACGAACGCUGGCGGCAUGCCUAACACAUGCAAGUCGAACGAUGCUUUCGGGCAUAGUGGCGCACGGGUGCGUAACGCGUGGGAAUCUGCCCUUGGGUUCGGAAUAACAGUGAGAAAUUGCUGCUAAUACCGGAUGAUGUCUUCGGACCAAAGAUUUAUCGCCCAGGGAUGAGCCCGCGUAGGAUUAGCUAGUUGGUGGGGUAAUGGCCUACCAAGGCGACGAUCCUUAGCUGGUCUGAGAGGAUGAUCAGCCACACUGGGACUGAGACACGGCCCAGACUCCUACGGGAGGCAGCAGUGGGGAAUAUUGGACAAUGGGCGCAAGCCUGAUCCAGCAAUGCCGCGUGAGUGAUGAAGGCCUUAGGGUUGUAUAGCUCUUUUACCCGGGAUGAUAAUGACAGUACCGGGAGAAUAAGCUCCGGCUAACUCCGUG